rnacentral:rRNA from 1 species
GACGAACGCUGGCGGCGUGCUUAACACAUGCAAGUCGAACGGAAAGGCCCUGCUUUUGUGGGGUGCUCGAGUGGCGAACGGGUGAGUAACACGUGAGUAACCUGCCCUUGACUUUGGGAUAACUUCAGGAAACUGGGGCUAAUACCGGCUAGGAGCUCCUGCUGCAUGGUGGGGGUUGGAAAGUUUCGGCGGUUGGGGAUGGACUCGCGGCUUAUCAGCUUGUUGGUGGGGUAGUGGCUUACCAAGGCUUUGUCGGGUAGCCGGCCUGAGAGGGUGACCGGCCACAUUGGGACUGAGAUACGGCCCAGACUCCUACGGGAGGCAGCAGUGGGGAAUAUUGCACAAUGGGCGGAAGCCUGAUGCAGCAACGCCGCGUGCGGGAUGACGGCCUUCGGGUUGUAAACCGCUUUCGCCUGUGACGAAGCGUGAGUGACGGUAAUGGGUAAAGAAGCACCGGCUAACUACGUG